GAUACCUUUAAUUCAGUCCCGUGAGGCUGACAAGGACAGCGGAAUGUAUGAUCUUUAUAGGGAUACGUGUGUAUAUGUACGUGUACCUAUUGUUUACCUAUGAUCGUAAACGGCUUAUUGUCAGGGCAACUGGGCAAUAGGCCUUUUUUAU
rnacentral:sRNA from 1 species